CGAGGCCAGGGAACCCUCCAGAGCUGUGGCUGAGCUAAGCUGCAGGAGAGGACCAGAGGACAAGAGCUGCAGGCAUGGGCAGAGGAAAGCAGCCACUGGCACCCCAUGCCCAGCAAGGAAGUGAGUGUGGGGUAAAUACCCCGACCUCUUUAUCCUUCUGCCCUCCAGUCACCUGCCACCUUAUUCCAUUGGCUGAAUCUAACCCGAAGCCAAGGGAGCAGGAGAGGAGCUGGAACUUUCCCGUUUGGCUCUGUCAGCCAAGUGCAGCUUUCAAGUUCUCUAGGGACUGCUGUAUUUUCUCAUGAGUUCCGACUUCAGAUCUCCGGCUCCUCUUUCACUGGACGGAUUCCAAAUACUACAACUCCCUGUGUGACAGCUGGAGAAUCACUGCACCUUUCUGGGCCCCAUUGAGUGACAGAAGAUCGGAAUGGAUAGUCACAUGCCUGCCCCAGCGUGGAAGGAGAAGAGCCUAUACUUCCAUCCAUUCUGGCCUCUUCCAAGUUCCCCUCAUUUUUCUCUCUAAGAUCAAAUAAAUAAACAUGUUGUUAUUCUUUUUAUACAUU
rnacentral:lncRNA from 1 species